GAAUCCUUUGAACUUGAGACAGGUUGUGGGUGUUACUGUUUUAAUUUUGACCAAACUGGAUGGUUCUGCUAGAGGUGGCUGUGUGGUCAGUGUGGUUGAUGAGCUUGGAAUCCCUGUAAAAUUUGUGGGUGUUGGUGAAGGUGUUGAAGACCUUCAACCCUUUGAUGCGGAGACCUUUGUCAAUGCCAUUUGUAUUUAAACCAAUAUUGUGGGUUUGCAAAAACAGCUUGACAUGAACAUUCAGAGCAACACCUGGUCAACAGGAAAGAUGGCACUUUAUUAUGGAAACUGUUAUUGGGAAGGGGCCAAGCAUUGCGAAUAAGUGUACAUGAUUUUGAGGUGCAGAGCUGUUGUUGCUUUUGAGGCACGCUGAGUGUAUACAAUCUUCCUUUUGCAUGCUAUGUCUGAAAGUUUCUGAAAAUGCAAAUGAGACAUAGGGUUUAUAAUCACUCCUGUUUAUGAACAGAAGGAUUUUAUUGUGGUGUGCAUGUAGAUGAUACUUAAGGAAAAUGUAAACACGUUGCUCCAUUGUCUGUCAACAUCUGAUUAAUGACAACUAUUUUUAUUUCUUUGACCUCUCAACGAGGUUAACCUACUGUGUCGUACAUACA